GAUGAACGCUAGCGGCAGGCCUAACACAUGCAAGUCGAGGGGUAGAAGGAGCUUGCUCCUUUGAGACCGGCGCACGGGUGCGUAACGCGUAUGCAAUCUACCUUGUACAGGGGAAUAGCCCAGAGAAAUUUGGAUUAAUGCCCCAUAGUAUAUAACCUUCGCAUGUUGGUUAUAUUAAAGUUCCAACGGUACAAGAUGAGCAUGCGUCCCAUUAGUUAGUUGGUAAGGUAACGGCUUACCAAGACGAUGAUGGGUAGGGGUCCUGAGAGGGAGAUCCCCCACACUGGUACUGAGACACGGACCAGACUCCUACGGGAGGCAGCAGUGAGGAAUAUUGGUCAAUGGUCGCAAGACUGAACCAGCCAUGCCGCGUGCAGGAAGACGGUCCUAUGGAUUGUAAACUGCUUUUAAACAGGAAGAAACCCUCCCACGUGUGGGAGCUUGACGGUACUGUAGGAAUAAGGAUCGGCUAACUCCGUG
rnacentral:rRNA from 1 species